rnacentral:rRNA from 1 species
UACGUAGGGUGCGAGCGUUAAUCGGAAUUACUGGGCGUAAAGCGUGCGCAGGCGGUUUUGUAAGCCAGGUGUGAAAUCCCCGGGCUCAACCUGGGAAUGGCAUUUGGGACUGCAAGGCUGGAGUGCGGCAGAGGAGACUGGAAUUCCUGGUGUAGCAGUGAAAUGCGUAGAUAUCAGGAGGAACACCGAUGGCGAAGGCAGCCUCCUGGGCCAACACUGACGCUCAUGCACGAAAGCGUGGGGAGCAAACAGG